GGGCGUGUAACUCAGUGGUAGAGUGCUCGCUUUGCAUCAUGUUAGAUACAGCUAGCUGAAUGAGACUUGCGAGAAGUCCAGGGUUCGACUCCCUGCUCGUCCA
rnacentral:tRNA from 1 species